GUUCAAAUAGUUUAAGAAAAAUUCAAGUUUGUGGUACUUGAGAUGUAAAUAUUUACUUUGGACU
rnacentral:tRNA from 1 species